rnacentral:rRNA from 1 species
AGAGUUUGAUCCUGGCUCAGGAUGAACGCUGGCGGCGUGCUUAAUACAUGCAAGUCGAACGGGGUCUAGCGAGUAGUUAUCUACUUGCGAAAGCCUAGUGGCGGACGGGUGAGUAACGCGUGGGUAAUCUGCCCCUAAGUCCGGGAUAACAGAGCGAAAGUUUUGCUAAGACCGGAUACUCUUCCUUAGUCGCAUGGCUGAGGAAGGAAAGGAUUACCGCUUAGGGAUGAGCCCGCGUCCCAUUAGCUAGUUGGUGAGGUAACGGCCCACCAAGGCGACGAUGGGUAGCCGGCCUGAGAGGGUGUACGGCCACACUGGGACUGAGACACGGCCCAGACUCCUACGGGAGGCAGCAGUAGGGAAUUUUCGGCAAUGGGCGAAAGCCUGACCGAGCAACGCCGCGUGAGGGAAGAAGGUCUUCGGAUCGUAAACCUUUGUCAUCGGGGACGAUGAUGACGGUACUCGAGGAGGAAGCCCCGGCUAACUACGUGCCAGCAGCCGCGGUAAUACGUAGGGGGCGAGCGUUGUCCGGAAUUACUGGGCGUAAAGGGCGCGUAGGCGGUCUAAUAAGUCAGAUGUGAAAUUCUUGGGCUUAACCCAGGAUGUGCAUUUGAAACUGUUGGACUUGAGGGCAGGAGAGGAAAGCGGAAUUCCCAGUGUAGCGGUGAAAUGCGUAGAUAUUGGGAGGAACACCAGUGGCGAAGGCGGCUUUCUGGACUGUACCUGACGCUGAGGCGCGAAAGCCAGGGGAGCGAACGGGAUUAGAUACCCCGGUAGUCCUGGCCGUAAACGAUGGAUACUAGGUGUGGGAGGUAUCGACCCCUUCCGUGCCGGAGCAAACGCAAUAAGUAUCCCGCCUGGGGAGUACGGCCGCAAGGCUGAAACUCAAAUGAAUUGACGG